UGUAGGUUGCUGCACCACAGCACUUCAUCAUUAAGAACUACUGCCUAUAUGAAACUGUAUGCCUUGAUGUAGGCCUCGUAUUCUGUAGGAGAAGUUGGACCAGUGCUAGCGACAGACAGAAAAAUGUUUUCAAAGAGAAAUUUAAUUGUCUGUUUCUAGCACAGUACAGGGAACACAUCCUGCAAGUAGUCUUACAUAACCCAACCUUGAGAACAAGCACAACUCUGAGAGCACAGAGUGCUACAAGUUGUGUUUAUUUACACGAUACCACAAAACCACAGAGGCAAACCAGCCUGACAACAAAAGAUUUGGGAGUCAGGCGGCAAAACACUAGAAAAUUCAUCAUGGAAAUACCUAUGAACUCUUUACUAUGCUGCCUUUUUACUUAACCUGAAAUAUCUAUGCAGAGUACUCUCCCUCUUAUAUGAUAGCUCACUAAGAAACAAAGCCGAAGUGCUCACUACUGUGUACCCAGCAUGUUAUAGCAAGGGUAGAAGUUUAUGGUUUUGAAAGUUUGUCUUCCAGUUUUAGAAACCCCAUGAGUCUGGUUUUUUUCCCACUGUCACUGCUGGAUAUAAAGUAUAUAAAGGAUAUAAAGUAACACAAAAAAAAAGACUGUUAUUACAACAAUCUAUCUCACAUUUGCUCCAACCUGUAACAAGAAUUCAGAUUGGAGUUUCAUUCUUGGAUGCAUUUCCUAAGAGAUUAAGUCUGUCACUUAGAGAAUGAUCUCUCUAAAUUCCAAAAAAAAAAAAAAAAAAAAAAAAAAAAAGCAUUUUUUUCCUAAUAUUUGGGUCUUUCCAAACAAAUAAUGGCUUUUGUUUUGCUGUGUUUGCUGAUGGAGCUGGACAGGAUCUAUAAAUACCGUUUUAAAUAAGUCAGCAUAAGAGGUUACUGGGAGUUUAAUCGGUAAGAAUAUGUUUUAGGGAUUGAAAGACAUUCCUAGUUACAGCGCCUUCCUAUUGAUGUUAUCAGUGUUCAUUCUGUGUUUGAUGGACUGCUACAUGGUGCAAAUAAGGUGGUGAAUUUCCUCAAAUUUGUAUCCUAUGGCAGAUAAAAAUACAGUGCUAGUAAUUAUUUUGAAUCAAAAGGGAUUUAAAAAUGCACAUAAUUGCCAAAUAUCUUUCUUCCUCUCACGUGUUUCUAAUGUGAGUACAUGACCUAUCGCUAUGUCUGGCAGUGAGCUUAAGACUAAGAACUAUAAUUUGGGGUUUCUAUACUGUAUUUUUAAUUGGACACUUUUUUCUUUCAGUUUUCUUUCAUGAGUGCUAAUAUACACAUUGCUGCAAUCACCUGGGUGAACAUCUAUGUUUAAACCACUUGGAGCCCUGUACUAGAAAAGAAACCUCCUGGCAUGUCUUGGAUCCUCCUUCAGUCUGAAAGUCUCCAUCUUUGCUGUUGUAAAUAAAAGGUUUUCAUAACAUUG